GGCGAACGGGUGAGUAAUAUAUUGGAACGUACCGAGUAAUGGGGGAUAACCAAUCGAAAGAUUGGCUAAUACCGCAUACGCUCUGAGGAGGAAAGCAGGGGACCUUCGGGCCUUGCGUUAUUCGAGCGGCCAAUAUCUGAUUAGCUAGUUGGUGGGGUAAAGGCCUACCAAGGCGACGAUCAGUAGCGGGUCUGAGAGGAUGAUCCGCCACACUGGGACUGAGACACGGCCCAG
rnacentral:rRNA from 1 species